AAGGAAUAAGAGAGCAGCGCCCGAGCUGCUUGUUCGCAACGGCACCUGAGCAUCGACGGGGAAACGAAGGAGCUCAUCUCGCUGAUUUGGUCAUUUCCUCUGUUGUAAUCCAACGGCUGACAGCCAUGACGAUUUAGGGUCACAUUUACUACCCUCCAUCCUGAGCAGCUGUUGCAGAAUCCAAGAACUUCUAGAAAAUUCAUAAACACUGUAUAACCUACCUCUGUGCACAAGAGAAUCUGCAGAUGCUGGAAAUAUUGCUCUGCAGUCAAGUCUUUUAAGACGACCACAUCAGUGAACUAUCUCUCAGAUGCUGCAAGCAACAGACGAUUUUGAAAAUCCCGGAAGUUUACCAACAGUGAGGGAAUGGUGGAAGUUGGAACACUUGGCACAAACGGCGAUGGACAUGGACCCGAAUUUAGAACGGAGUCAGCAUUUCAGUCGCUCCCUGCCGUCAACCUUCUUCCCUACAAGCAAAUUUAAAACAAAAUGCUGCCAAGCAAACAACCUUCAUCACUUUAUGCAAAUCGCUGUAAUCUUCUGCUGCCGGCAGUUCUAAGAGUUCUGUGAGCCUUCCUUCACCCCUUGCUGUGCUUGAUAUUAUCCUGACGACCACAAGCAUCCACCUUAUCCAUGUAAAGCUGCCCAACACAACAACAACCACUCAUCUCUCGGAGCGAACACACCUGCCACUGUUGG